AUACACCCACAAACUUAUUUGUUAUAUUAUAUUAAUAUAAUGAAAGUUUGCACAGAUUAGAAAAACAAAGAGUAAAGGAAAUGAAGAAUAAGAUCUUCGUAUAUUGAUCAAUGAAAAAAUAAAAAGAUUCUCUAGUUGAGUUGUCUAUCCUAGCCAAUCAAAUUAAGUUUUGCUGAUAACAACUUAGCACGCCUAUAACAACAGCUCAUGACAGCUUAACUAAUUAACAUCACGCUUAUAAAAAGAUUCUCUAGCUGUAACUUGAGUUUAAUAUAAAUACGAUAACAUCUCCCUCAAGAUGGAGUUGGAGAGAAAUCAACCAACCCUAUUUUGGACGGUAGAAAUAAGAACGUUUAUGUGCAUAGGGGCUUGGUGAACAAGUCUACAAGUUGGUGCUUUGAAGCCACAUGAACAGUAGAAAUGAAACUAGCUGCUGAUUUCUCACUGUGACAAUCAAUAUCCAAGUGCUUGGUACGUUCAUAGAACAUUGGAUUCGUAGCUAUAUGAAUUACAGCUUGAUUGUCACAUCUAAGUGAAAUAGGCAAGGACACAGGGAUUUGAAGAUCGUGAAGAACAUAGGUGAUCCAUUGUAACUUACACGCUGUGGUUGCCAUGUUUCUAUACUCAGCCUCUGCAGAAGAUUGACUCACAGUUGACUGCUUUCUGGAUUUCCAUGACUUAAUUGAGGGGCCCAAAAAAAUGCAAUAACCAGUAAUGGACUUCCUAGUUGUAGAGCAGGUAGCCUAGCCAGCACAAAAUGCUGAAAGCUGUAAGGAAUUGGAUUUGGGAAAGAAAAUCCAUUUGGAUGGACAACUCUUUAGAUAUUUUAAAACAUCAAGAUGGGAUUGACAUGGAACCUGCAUAAACUGACUCAAUUGUUGGACUGAGUCGGUUAUGGCCUUGUGAGACUCAAAUACAACAAUCUCCCCACAAGCCGGUAAACUUCCGGAUGAGGCAAUGGAUCUCCCAUAUUAGGCACUAGUUUGCCCUUAACCAUAGGAGUAGAGACGAUUUUGGCAUCUUGAAGGCCUGCAUCUUUGACAAUAUCUAAGAUAUACUUCCUCUGGUUUAAGUACAAUCUGGAAUCAGACCUAGCUAUUUCCAACCCAAGAAAGAACUUUGCAUAACCCAUGUCCUUAAUUGUGAACUGGUGAUGAAGGAACUGCUUUACCUGAAUAAUCAACUUUUCAGAAACUCCAGUAAGCAAAACCUCUUCUACAUAAACCAAUAAAGCAAGAAAAGUGGAACCAGUUCCCUUGACAAAUAGGCAAUGAUCAUGGGAGGACUGUAUGAACCCAAAUUCUUUCAAUUUAGCAGUAAACUCCUUGUUCCAUUGCCUUCAUGCCAGCUUUAAACCAUACAAGGACUUCUAGAGUUUACAAACUUGGCCUCGUAAAGCUUUAUCAUACCCCUCAGGAGCAACCAUAUAAAGCUCUUCAUCAAUGUAUCCAUGCAAGAAUCCAUUAUUUACGUCUAAUUGAUGCAAGGGCCAACCUUUUGCUGCUGCAAUUGCUAAAAAUAGUCUAACUUUAACUAGCUUUGCCACUGGGAAGUAACUGUCUGCGUCGUCUAGGCCAAGUAAUUGAUUAUCCACUGUUCCAUUAGGUAAAUACUUCACCUUAUACACCCAUUUGCAGCUCAUAGGUUUUUUUGUUUAGGUGGCAGGGUAGUUAGCUGCCAAGUUUGAAUAGCUUCCAAUGUAUUCAAUUCAGUUUGCAUAGCCAGUAUCUAAUUCUUGUCAUGUUUAGCAUGAUGAUAGGAAGUAGGUUAUGGAAUCUUAGACACACUAGCUAUAAAGGCUAGGUAAGAAGGGUGAAAAGUAACUGAGGAUAGAGAAAUACCUUGGUGUGCUGCAGAAGUAAUGAAAUCAACAGUAGGCUGCUGGACUGUGGCAACAAUGUCUUGCAACCAAGCAGGUUUAGACACUUUCCUUGUACUCUUUCUUAGUGGAAUUGGAUAAGAAGAAAGCUGUAAAGGUGAGAGAGAUGAAAUGACAGGUGAAAUAGAAGUGCUAACUGGAAGUGAAAUAUCAAAAUUGUGAAAUUGAUCACGUGAAUCAUGUGAAAUUGAUGGAGGAGAUUGAGAAGCAAUAAUAUUAGAAUUAUUAGAAUGAGUAGGAGUAUUAGUAUCAAAAUAGAAGGGAAGGGGAAUUGAAGCAUUUGGAGAAAUGUCAGAUGCAGCAAAUGGAAAAACUCUCUCAUGAAGCUUCACAUCUCUAGAAAUUAAACAUUAGCGUGACUGUAAACUAUAUAGUUUGUAAGCUUUGUGAUGUGGAGCAUAGCCUAAAAGAACAGAAGAAAUUUCUUUAGGGUCAAACUUGCAUUUAUGAGGCAACACAUUUGUAGCAUAACACAAACAUCCUAUCACCUUAAAAUCGGAAUAAUCUGGUUCUUUGUGAAACAAAACUAAGUAAGGUAACUUCCAAUCUAAUACUACAGUAGGUAAUCUAUUGAUUAUAUGAGUAGCAGCAAGUAUUGAUUCAUACCAGAAUUUACUAGGAAAAUUUGCUUGGAACAUGAUAGACCUUGCCACUUGUAAUAAAUGCUUAUGCUUCAUCUCAAUAACACCAUUUUGCUAUGGGUUAUACACAUAAGAUUUUUGAUGUACAAUACCUCUAGAAUUAAAAAUUUCAGCACAAGCAGAGUUAACAAACUCAAUCCCAUUAUCAGUUCUCACUUUCUUAACUAACUUUUGAAAUUGGGUUUGUAAUACAAAUGGCACUUAGGACUUAGCAAACACCAUAUAGGUGCAUGUAUAUCUACUGUGAUCAUCAACAAUGGUAACCAUAAGAGUUGCUCCAGAAUAGAAUUAACUCUAUAAGGUCCCCACAAGUCUACAUGAAAAAGCUCAAAUAUUUCAGUAGUAGAAACUGUACUAAUAGGAAAUGGAAUCCUUUUCUGUUUAGACAAUGGACAAAUACAACAAACAUGAUGUGGCACUUUAUUUAAUUCAAGGAUAGGUAUAUGAAUAAGUUUGGAAUAGGAAGCAUGUUCCAAUCUUGAAUGCCAAAGAACUAUUGAAUUGUCUGCAAUUUUAUGAGAAUUACAAGAAACUGAACAAACUUGAUCACUAGUAGAAAAGGAUUUUGUGUCUAGGUAAUAUGCUCUAGCUCUAGCCUUUCCAACAGCAAAGACUUCAUUAUUCUACAUAUCUUGCAUUAAACACUUUUCAUGGAAAAAUUGAACAGAAACGUUACAUGUUGUAGCAAGGGUACUGACAGAAAGCAAAUUGCAUUUAAAGUUGGGAACAUGUAAAACAUUGGUUAAUAUGAGUUUGGGGUAGAAAAUUAUAUGACCUAUGUGGGUAACAGUUUGAACAAAACCAUCAUGCAAAUAAACAAGUUUUGGUUUAGUCAAAAAAUUGGUUUUAUCGAAGAAAGAAAGAUUGGCACCCGUGUGGUUGGCUGCCCCUAUGUCUAUGAUCCAGAUUCCCUUAUUCCUAACAAUCAUACUAACUAAACAAGAAUCAGAAACAUUACCCGCAAAAUCUGCAGUGUUUGCAAAGUCAGAUUCAUUACUAGGUGCCUUGCCUUUCAUGAAUUUCAUCAUUUCCUGUUGAAACAUGUGACAGAAAUUGGCACUCAAAUCCUUAUUCUUGCCUUGAGCUGUAGCAUCAGUAUCCAUUGGUGUAUCAGCAAUAUGAGCUACAGCAUUGGCCUGCUGUU
rnacentral:misc_RNA from 1 species